UGAGCAACCUGCCCCAAGCUUUGGGAUAACCCUCGGAAACGGGGCUAAUACCGAAUAGGACUUCCGGCCGCAUGGCUGGGGGUGGAAAGUUUUUCGGCUUGGGAUGGGCUCGCGGCCUAUCAGCUUGUUGGUGGGGUGAUGGCCUACCAAGGCGACGACGGGUAGCCGGCCUGAGAGGGCGACCGGCCACACUGGGACUGAGACACGGCCCAGACCUCCGUACGGGAGCA
rnacentral:rRNA from 1 species